ensembl:processed_transcript 4631405J19Rik RIKEN cDNA 4631405J19 gene
CGCAAGUGGGAGCCCUGCUCAGAUGAGCCAGCCUCCCCAGCUCCGAAGGUAGGCAGCCAGGCAGCCAGCCUCUGCGUUUCCUGUGGUGGCCUCCGAGCUGGUGACCUGUGUGGCAGACUGAGGACCUGGGAUGCAUCCAGCUGCCAGCUCGACUUCCUCUGGACUGCUCCCUACCCUGAGCCCCGCAGACUCGGAGCUCAAGUGGAUGACAUCUUGUGCUCCCAGAGGUACAGGAGGCCGGAAAUGAGAGCACAGGCAGCCAGGUCCCUGCAAGGAGCAGCUCAAGUAGAAUCUGGGAAGGUUCCCGAAUGGGAAAUGAAUCAUGAAAACCACGAAGACCUCCAGCAAGCAGACAUGCCUGGGUUCCAGUGAGCUGCCCAUUCUGCUGCCCUCAGAGUUCACAGGUGAGGGAGUGUCAGCUCCGAGAGGAUACUUGGGCAACUACAGGGACACGAUGAAGCAGGAUCUGAACCCAGACCCCUUGAUCUCCAGCCCUCAGGCAGCUGUUUCUAUUUGUGGGACCCAUGAGGAACACAGGAGCCACUGAAGGAGGGGUUCAUCUGAAGGCGAGUGAGUCAGCCUGUGCUAGAAGACUGGGAUGGAGCUAGCCAAGUUCACCUGUAAUUCCAGCACUUGGGAGGCUGAGGCAAGAGAAGCCCUGUGAAUCUGCAGCCAGUCUGGGCUACACGGUGAGGCUUUCCCAACUACACAUGGGAACUAACAACAGCGGCCAUCAUGGGUUAUUCUGAGGAGUAGUUGGCUCAUCACAAGGCACUGAACAUCAUCUAGCCAUAAUGGAUAUGGCCAAGCCACAGAGGUGCCACAUUUCUAGAAAUGGUGGCUCCUGGAAGAGCUGGGUCAGGAUUUCAGCCUGGGCAUUCCGAUUCCAGAGGCUGCUGAUCUUCUGGACACCCACCACCACCACCACCGCGCCUCCCUGCGGCUCCCACUAGAACAAGGACAGCAGAGGAGACUGAAGGAGAGGAGACACUGGGGUCAAGGAUGCAGAUUUUCCAUCCAGCUCAAAAGAAGUGAGCCUGGGAUAACUGGCGUCCAUGGGAGGUGUUUGGUCCUUCACCAACUCUUAACGGACACAUUUUAAAUAUUGGAUAAUACAUUUUUAAAGCACAGCAGGUUCCCAUAACCCAGCAAGAGCAACUCCAGAGAGGCCCAAGGAAGUUCUGGAAUAAAAUCAUAGCUAACCUCCAUGUCUAUCGGUAGGGGAAUGGCU